GUCGAACGGGCAGCACAGAGGAGCUUGCUCCUUGGGUGGCGAGUGGCGGACGGGUGAGGAAUACAUCGGAAUCUACUCUGUCGUGGGGGAUAACGUAGGGAAACUUACGCUAAUACCGCAUACGACCUACGGGUGAAAGCAGGGGACCUUCGGGCCUUGCGCGAUUGAAUGAGCCGAUGUCGGAUUAGCUAGUUGGCGGGGUAAAGGCCCACCAAGGCGACGAUCCGUAGCUGGUCUGAGAGGAUGAUCAGCCACACUGGAACUGAGACACGGUCCAGACUCCUACGGGAGGCAGCAGUGGGGAAUAUUGGACAAUGGGCGCAAGCCUGAUCCAGCCAUACCGCGUGGGUGAAGAAGGCCUUCGGGUUGUAAAGCCCUUUUGUUGGGAAAGAAAUCCAGCUGGCUAAUACCCGGUUGGGAUGACGGUACCCAAAGAAUAAGCACCGGCUAACUUCGUGCCAGCAGCCGCGGUAAUACGAAGGGUGCAAGCGUUACUCGGAAUUACUGGGCGUAAAGCGUGCGUAGGUGGUCGUUUAAGUCCGUUGUGAAAGCCCUGGGCUCAACCUGGGAACUGCAGUGGAUACUGGGCGACUAGAGUGUGGUAGAGGGUAGCGGAAUUCCUGGUGUAGCAGUGAAAUGCGUAGAG
rnacentral:rRNA from 1 species